rnacentral:rRNA from 1 species
AGAGUUUGAUCCUGGCUCAGGACGAACGCUGGCGGCGUGCCUAAUACAUGCAAGUAGAACGCUGAAGAGAGGAGCUUGCUCUUCUUGGAUGAGUUGCGAACGGGUGAGUAACGCGUAGGUAACCUGCCUGGUAGCGGGGGAUAACUAUUGGAAACGAUAGCUAAUACCGCAUAAAAUUGAUUAUUGCAUGAUAAUUAAUUGAAAGAUGCAAUUGCAUCACUACCAGAUGGACCUGCGUUGUAUUAGCUAGUUGGUGAGGUAACGGCUCACCAAGGCGACGAUACAUAGCCGACCUGAGAGGGUGAUCGGCCACACUGGGACUGAGACACGGCCCAGACUCCUACGGGAGGCAGCAGAAGGGCGAAUUCGU